rnacentral:lncRNA from 13 species
CCUUGCUGGCUCAGUCCAGAUAUCCCUGCGCUCCUCAGCUGGGGCAGCAGCAUGGUUGGUGACCAGGCCUGGCUGCAGGUCCCGAAGGGAGAAGGGCCUGGCUUCCGUCCCAGCUCACCUUCCUUCGCUGACAGUGCUGCUCCUGGCAAGUUCCUUCGUGUCAGUUUCCUGAGGCUGCCGCACAAAGCACCUCAGACCCAGGGGCUCAAACGACAGGAAUUGAUUUUCCCGCAGUUUUGGAAGCCAGGAGCCCCGAGGCAAGGUGUCAGCACUGCUGGUCCCUGUGGAGGGCUGUGAGGAAGGCGUCGCUCCUGGCUCGAACUUCUCCUUCUUGGGGUGCCGCUCCUGUCCGGCGGUCCCUCCCAUGGUGAUAGAGUGCUCUAUUUCCUUGAACACGCCCCUCCCUUUGCCCCUUCAGGCCUAGAAGUGGUGACGUCUUCUGCUGCUGACCUGGAGAACUUCACCUGCCCCUGAGGCUUCCUGAAGCCAGCCCACGCGGUGCAAAAGUCCAUUCCUUGAGACCUAUCUGUUGCCCAUCUGAGUGAGGCACAGGCAGCCUUGCAGGAUUUUCCUGAGUGCGUGACGAUUCGCGGGAAUUACCCAGUGCCCAGCUCGGUCCUUGGCUUAGAAAGAAAGUGUGCAGCCAGUGUUCCCCGAACCAAACCCAAGAUUUUCAAACGACCUGAAGCCCUUUGGAUGAAAGCAUUUAAAAAGUGCAAAGCUGUCCUUCUCUCCAUUCAAACCAUAUUCGAUUUCAUCGAUUUGGAAAGGGAGCAGGGGAAGUCACCUAUGACUCUGCACGGAAAAUCAGAUGUCUUGCAGGCGGAUGGAGGAUUCCAUUGCAGACCCGACCUCUAUGUGGAAUUGGAAAUCAGUGUUGUAAUUUCAGGUGGGGGCUCCAUGAAAGUUCUGUCUCCCAUCUUCUCCCGUCCCUCCUCAAAAUAGCUCUUCCUGUUAUACACAGUGCUAGAAAUUUACCCAUGCAGCAUGCAACCCUCAAGCCUUCCACUAAAGUCAGAUGUCUCUGAGAAACUGAACACCUUAAGCCAGAACCAAUAAAUAUACCACACAGUUGCUGACA